rnacentral:rRNA from 1 species
CCUACGGGGUGCAGCAGUGAGGAAUAUUGGUCAAUGGUCGGGAGACUGAACCAGCCAAGCCGCGUGAGGGAUGAAGGUACAGAGUAUCGUAAACCUCUUUUGUCAGGGAACAAAGGCGGGGACGUGUCCCCGGAUGAGUGUACCUGAAGAAAAAGCAUCGGCUAACUCCGUGCCAGCAGCCGCGGUAAUACGGAGGAUGCGAGCGUUAUCCGGAUUUAUUGGGUUUAAAGGGUGCGCAGGCGGUCUGUUAAGUCAGCGGGCAAAGCCCGGGGCUCAACCCCGGCCCGCCGUUGAAACUGGCAGUCUCGAGUUGGAGAGAAGUAUGCGGAAUGCGCGGUGUAGCGGUGAAAUGCAUAGAUAUCGCGCAGAACUCCGAUUGCGAAGGCAGCAUGCCGGCUCCACACUGACGCUGAGGCACGAAAGCGUGGGUAUCGAACAGGAUUAGAUACCCUGGUAGUC